CCCCUCGUAGUUCAAUGGAUAGAACCGCGGACUUCUAAACCGCUGAUGGGUGUUCAAUUCACCCCGAGGGGA
rnacentral:tRNA from 1 species